UUUCUUGAAAAUCAGCGCAUUUGUGGUAUAUUGAACAUGCCGGGUUUCGAUCCGGCUAUGACGCUACACGCGGAUGCGGAAUAGGCCUAAUGGACCCGGGGGCAGAGCCCGGCGGCUCCACCACAAGUCCCCCAUAUGUGGGGAUUUUUGUGGGGCCGAUUUAGGAUCGACAUGGGUAAUAAAGGCGUUUUGCGGUGUCAGGAAUGGUGUCCGCCUUUAAACGGGCCAUACAAGUAGUUGCCAACGACAACUAUGCUCCGGUUGCUCUCGCCGCCUAAGCGGUGCGAAAGACCACUCAGUAGAAUCCCUUUGGCUUAGCCGCCUGAGGUGGGGUGCGGGCCGACCUAGCAACAGAACCGGCCCAUU
rnacentral:tmRNA from 2 species